AUUUUUUUCAAAAAGCUGAAAAUUAAAUUCAUAAAUGGUAAAAUCCUUUACGUACACACUUGUAUAAAAUUUGAAAAAUAAUAUUUUCUAAUUAUUGAUUGAAUGUAUUCAAACAAUUAAUCACAAGUAACUAUCUAAAUUGGUGACAUUUGGCAACAGUGAGUAAAUCUGGUUUAUUUAUGUAUGUUUAUUCCAAACAUAACCUUAUAAACAAACAGUUGUUUAUUUAGAGUUAUUUAUUAUUGUUUUCUGAUAUUUUGCAAUUGUUAAGUUGGUUUACUUCGAAUUUAAUAUGCAUUACUGUGGUAUUUCUCCAGUUUUCUAAGAAGGUUGGUGAUUUUGAAUUGGGAUUAUGAUGAAUUUAACCCAAAGGCAAUGUGUGUGUUUAUUUAUGUGGCAAAAUUCCAGGCACCAUAAAAAUUUGAGUUUCUUCCUGUUGCCCAUGGAUGAAAAUCGGUUUGCAGAAUGAAAAGAAAUUGUUCAAUGUGAUAAACUUUCUAUGAACAGUCCUCAAUAUUGUUACAUUAACUUUUAAAUAUGCACUUUACAUCUUGAGGAGCAGGCCUUUGCAGAAAUACUGAAAAGCGGGUUGCAAAACAACGCAAAA
rnacentral:lncRNA from 1 species